AUUUAUAGGUUAUUUUAUUUUGAAGUGUGAAUUAUUGCAGUAUUUUUGUUUACCAAUAUAAUUAGCUUAACUAUUAAAAUUGUGAUAACUUGGAGUGGAGAUUGAAGUAUUAUCGGAGAAAUUAAUUUUUUUCCAAAUCCAAAGUCAUAAGACUCUUCUAACUUUUAGCAUCUAUUAGUGAAUAAGGCAUUUUAUUAGAAUUUCAAUUACCGGCAAUUUCGAUUACCGUAAGAUUUUUGACAUACUACCAUUUUAGUAAAGAGAUGGAGCUUCCUGAGGAAUGGUGUGGCUCUCCCAUCACUAAAGUCUCUGAACUAGACGAUCCCAUCGUUUCUGAUAAGAUAAAAGAGCUGAAAAAUCAUUAUUUAAAGAAGUUCAACAGUUCUCCAAUAGGCUACAUCCAAGUUCCUGGAAGGGUGAACCUAAUAGGCGAGCACAUUGACUACUGUGGAUAUCCUGUUUGUCCAAUGGCAAUUGGAAAGUACAUCCUGAUAGCGUUUGGAUUUUCUAACGAAAAGAAAGAUUUUCUUCAUGUUACCAACUUGAACAAAAUCCAUCCCGAUUUCGUCAAUCAUACUGACGUUGUAGAAGUAUCUGUGGACAAAAUUGGCUGGACCAGUUACCUUUUGAGUGGAAUACUAGGCAUAAAAAAUAAGAUAGAAUCGCAGCACAGUAAUAAAGAAGAUUUGAAGGAAGUGAAAGGACUCUGUUUAGCUGUGAGUGGAAACAUUCCUGAAGCUGCUGGAUUAUCAAGUUCCAGUGCUCUUGUCGUAGCUGGAUCGAUGAUCUAUUCAUUAGUUCAUAAAUUUGAUACAACUAAACUGGAAUUGGCUGAAUUAUGUGCGGCUGCUGAGAACUUUGUUGGAACGGCUGGUGGUGGAAUGGACCAAACUAUCAUUCUUAAUGCAGACAAAGGUACAUCGAAGCUCAUAGAAUUCCGUCCCUUGAAAGUGACCAACUGUGUUCUACCAGAGGGAUCUGUGUUUGUGAUAGCCAAUAGUCUGGUGGAGAAAAAUAAAGCAGCUUCGUCCGAUUUCAAUACUAGAGUUGCUGAGUGCCGAAUUGCAGCUCAGAUAAUAGCGAAGAGAGAAGGAUGUCCUGAUUGGAAGGGUUUGCGUACUCUUUCUCUCAUCCAGAAAGCCCUCAAAUGUGAUGUCACUGAAAUGAAGGAUAAAGUAGAACAAUAUUUUCAUGAGUCUCCGUACACCAAAGAAGAGAUUUGUAAAGUCUUGGGAAUAACCAUUAGUGAUCUGGAUUAUUUAUCUUUGUGCCCAAAAACAUAUAACGUUGAAACAUUCAAACUGAAACAGAGGGCAAUGCAUGUUUAUUCUGAGGCUGAACGUGUUUUUACUUGGAAGAAGUACUGUGAAGAUGGAGAAUCAAUUGAGAAAUUUGGAGAACUGAUGAAUGCCAGUCAUGACAGUCUUCAGAAUUUGUAUGAAUGCAGUCAUCCCGAACUCGACAGAUUAGUUGCAAUCUGCCGUGAAAACGGGGCCUAUGGAGCGAGGCUCACUGGAGCUGGCUGGGGAGGCUGUAUGGUUGCAUUGACAUCAAAGACUAAAGUGGUAAGGAUGAUGAAUGCUUUAGAUAACUAUUACGCCACCAAGAAGGAUGUUGACUUGGAUUCUGCAUUAUUUGCUGUUGGUCCUGAAGGAGGAGCUAGAGUUUUCAAAGAAUAAUAUAGGAUAUAAAAUAUAAUAUAGUAUAAUAAUCAAAGUCAUUGUUGAGUAUUAGAUGAAUAUACUUCUUAAAACUGUAAAAUAGCCUCUAUAGUUAUCAAGUCAUCGGUGAACCCAUUAGCCGGCCUAUUAUAUGUUAUUAUUUUUCUAGUGUAAGACCGUAUUAGAAUACACAAUAUUAUUCUUUGUCUAGGGUAACAAAACGUUCCGUUUCGCCGGAAUUAUCUCGGUUUUUUAUCCUUGAUCAAUCCAGUAAUAUCAAAAAUCUAUUGGGAGGGGGUAGUUUUUGGAGAUAGAAAAGUCCUGUUUUUUAUUAUUAUAAAAUAUUUUAUUCACUUAUUGAUUAAGUAAUUGUUAUCAAAGAUUAAGAGUAUAUUUCAUUGAUGUGUAAAACAAUGUCCUGUUACUUAGUACCUAAAAAGUUUAUAGUCUGUCCAAACUGCCAUGAGCCCUGAAAGAUUAAGCCGACCCUCGCUCCCCCACGCGCAGGCACACACGCCGGCCUACCUGCGCCAUUGAUAUAGUAUGUAUACUACGUAGUAUACAGGUAGGCAGACCGUCCCUUUACUCACACACACAAAAGGAGACUGCGCUGAGUAGUAGGAGGGUUGGCCUAAUCCUUCAGAGCUCAUGCCUGUUUGGACAGAGUUUAUUAAUAAUCAAAAAAUAUAAUGUAAAAACACAUCACAUAUACAUGUUCAUUCAAUGAAGAAACAAACCUCUUAUCAUAUAUUAUAAUAAUAUACUGUAACCUUUAUAGUACAUUUGUAAAGCCUUUGUUUUUAAUUGGAUUUUUGAUGUAAUGGGCUGAAUAAGAUACCGUAAAAAUACCAUUGUACUUCUGGGAGUGUUCUUGCAUUCGAUGUCCAUAAGAAUCAAUGGUUUUUUCAUGGUUUCUGUUGAGCAGAGCAUAAAAAUAUUAACUUUGUUGUAGUAUUGACACUGUGUAACUUUGUAAAUAUUUAACAAUUAAUUACUUUUAAAUGAAUAUAUUGGAAAGCGAUGCUUUGGGCUAAUAGUCAUCAAUCAAGCCUUGAAAAUCAUUACUUGAUAUUCACUUGAGAUCACUCACUGUACUGUACUUGUCAAUUAUUAUUAAUUAUUAGGGUGUCUAUUCAAAGAUCAAUCUUUGUUAUUUAAUCUAAGCUCGAAUAUUUUAUUCAAAAAAUUGUAAACUUGCUAUUUUAAUAAAAUGUUGGGAAAAAUAAGAA